rnacentral:tRNA from 1 species
GGAGAGGUGACCGAGUGGCCGAAGGUGCACGAUUGGAAAUCGUGUGAGCCCGUAAGGGUUCCGCGGGUUCGAAUCCCGCUCUCUCCG